CCUACGGGUGGCAGCAGUGGGGGAUAUUGCACAAUGGGGGGAACCCUGAUGCAGCGACGCCGCGUGAGCGAUGGAGUACUUCGGUAUGUAAAGCUCUGUCAGCAGGGAAGAAAAUGACGGUACCUGACCAAGAAGCCCCGGCUAAAUACGUGCCAGCAGCCGCGGUAAUACGUAUGGGUCAAGCGUUAUCCGGAUUUACUGGGUGUAAAGGGAGCGUAGACGGCGAUGCAAGUCUGAAGUGAAAGGCGGGGGCCCAACCCCCGGACUGCUUUGGAAACUGUAUGGCUGGAGUGCAGGAGAGGUAAGUGGAAUUCCUAGUGGAGCGGUGAAAUGCGUAGAUAUUAGGAGGAACACCAGGGGCGAAGGCGGCUUACUGGACUGUAACUGACGUUGAGGCUCGAAAGCGUGGGGAGCAAACAGGAUUAGAUACCCGAGUAGUC
rnacentral:rRNA from 1 species